UUAAAAAGCUCGUAGUUGGAUUUCGGAGUGGGCCAGUUGGUCCGCCGCAAGGUGUGUUACUGACUGGUCUGCUCUUCUUCGCAAAGACUGCGUGUGCUCUUUGUUGAGUGUGCGUAGGAUUUACGACGUUUACUUUGAAAAAAUUAGAGUGUUCAAAGCAGGCUAUUGCUUGAAUACAUGAGCAUGGAAUAAUGGAAUAGGACUUUGGUCCCAUUUUGUUGGUUUCUAGGACCGAAGUAAUGAUUAAGAGGGACAAUUGGGGGCAUCCGUAUUUCGUUGUCAGAGGUGAAAUUCUUGGAUUUACGAAAGACGAACAACUGCGAAAGCACUUGCCAAGAGUGUUUUCAUUAAUCAAGAACGAAAGUUAGAGGAUCGAAGACGAUCAGAUACCGUCCUAGUUCUAACCAUAAACGAUGUCGACUAGGGAUCAGCGGGCGUUAUCGUACGACCCCGUUGGCGCCUUACGGGAAACCAAAGUUUCUGGAUUCCGGGGGAAGUAUAGUCGCAAGGCCCGAAAACUUAA
rnacentral:rRNA from 1 species